rnacentral:lncRNA from 1 species
AGAAGGUUGGUGACGCUACAGGCUGCGUCAUAAGGUGACCUAAUUAGUAGCGUUCUUCGUCAGGUCACUAAGCCCCACCCAUUAAACACGUUUGAUAUUUGGCUGAAGGAGUCGGGCCUGUAAUUAAAGUUAUCUUUUCCCUGCGUCUCUACCACUGUGUGCAGAGUGCCGCAGAGGAAUACAUCGCCGGUGGUAGGCUGCUACGAGGAUGCCGAUAGUCAUCGUAAAGGUUGAGGUCAAACUUUCACCAGUUGCAACUGUUACUACGAUCAAGGAGGAGGCUGAAGACAUAGCAGAUAGGGCUGGAACUGGAUGUGUUCAACUCAAGAAGGAAGAGGCAGAGGUCACUGACCUUUCUUUUGGAGACGGGGUCUGGUUCAACACGGGUGGAGAUGGGACUCAGGCCCAGCAUCACGAGCUGACCACGGACCACGGCGAGCGUUCUCAUGUCUGCACUCUGUGUGGAAAGACCUUCACCACAGCCACGUACCUGUCCAUGCACAGGAGAAUCCACACCGGAGAGAAGCCCAACCGGUGCGACCUGUGUGGGAAGAGGUUCACGGCGUCUCAGGACCUUCUCAAACACAGGAGGACACACACACUGGAGAGAAGCCCUACCGGUGCCCGCUCUGCGCCAGGAGGUUCUCGCAGUUCGGCCAGCUCCAGAGGCACCGCGCCACACACACCGGAGCGCGGCCGCACCAGUGCGCUGACUGUGGGAAGAGCUUCUCCAGGCCAGACAGCCUGGAGAGGCACAGGGGGGUGCACACGGGGGUGAGGCCAUACCACUGCACCGGCUGUGGGAAGACCUUCACCCGGUCACGGAGCCUUAGAACCCAUACCAGAUCAUGUACUACACACACAAAAGCUUAGAACACAUACCAGAUCAUGUACUACACACACAAAAGCUUAGAACCCAUCAGCCUUAGAACCCAUACCAGAUCAUGUACUACCCACAAAAGCUUAGAACACUCAAGAAACUAGCUGCAGGCCAGAAGUCUCAUACUUAAAGUGGCUCAGAUUGUCGGAGAUUGGUUCUUGUUCUUUUUCUGUUGCUUUGAGGAAAGAAUGUAUGAGAACUGUGGUGUUGGCCUGAUAUUCAUUCACUAAGAUGAAUGCUCUACAAUCUACACGAUGGGGGUCCAUAGCCUGAUGGAGACAGAAUUCACCUUCUCCGUUAAGACGUCUACAGGCAGAAGUGCAGUGUUACAGUUAUUAGUGCUCAACAGUACAGAAUUCGAAAUAAUGAUUAAAAAUACAUGUUGAAUAUACUGGAGGUCAUGUAUCAGACGACAAUAUUUGCAACGUGAACUCCAAAAGUGUCAAAAUACAAUUAUCUACAUAGUAUCAUAAUCUACUUCAAAUUCAUGUUAUCUGUAUUUGUCACAGGAUAUUUCCAUUACUGCAUCACUCAUCUUAAUGUUUCAGUGUGUAAAAACCUUUUAAAAAUAAAUGUCUUCUUUCAGUUUAAUCA